CGCUGGCGGCAGGCCUAACACAUGCAAGUCGAGCGGAUGAAAGGAGCUUGCUCCUGGAUUCAGCGGCGGACGGGUGAGUAAUGCCUAGGAAUCUGCCUGGUAGUGGGGGACAACGUUUCGAAAGGAACGCUAAUACCGCAUACGUCCUACGGGAGAAAGCAGGGGACCUUCGGGCCUUGCGCUAUCAGAUGAGCCUAGGUCGGAUUAGCUAGUUGGUGAGGUAAUGGCUCACCAAGGCGACGAUCCGUAACUGGUCUGAGAGGAUGAUCAGUCACACUGGAACUGAGACACGGUCCAGACUCCUACGGGAGGCAGCAGUGGGGAAUAUUGGACAAUGGACGAAAGCCUGAUCCAGCCAUGCCGCGUGUGUGAAGAAGGUCUUCGGAUUGUAAGGCACUUUAAGUUGGGAGGAAGGGCAGUAAAUUAAUACUUUGCUGUUUUGACGUUACCGACAGAAUAAGCACCGGCU
rnacentral:rRNA from 1 species